CUUGGUCAUUUAGAGGAAGUAAAAGUCGUAACAAGGUCUCCGUUGGUGAACCAGCGGAGGGAUCAUUACCGAGUGUUUUUCCAACCUCAUAACCCUAUGUGAACCAUUAUACCACGUUGCUUCGGCGGCGCGUCCCCCCGGGGGCGUGCCCGCCGGCGAUAACCAGUCUCUCAGUCAUGAACCGACGUUACUUCUGAGUGUUCUAAGCGAACUGUUAAAACUUUCAACAACGGAUCUCUUGGCUCCAGCAUCGAUGAAGAACGCAGCGAAACGCGAUAUGUAGUGUGAAUUGCAGAAUUCAGUGAAUCAUCGAAUCUUUGAACGCACAUUGCGCCUCCCAGUAUCCUGGGAGGCAUGCCUGUCCGAGCGUCGUUUCAACCCUCGAGCCCACGUGGCCCGGUGUUGGGGAACCGCGAGCGUAAAAGCUCCCGCGGUCCCUGAAAUGCAGUGGCGGUCCCGCAGCGUCCCGGCCCUUUGCGUAGCAGCAUUCGCUCGCAUUGGCAGGCCCGCGGGUUACCAGCCUCUAAACCCCCUACAAAGACCGCUCCGGCGGCACGGUUGACCUCGGAUCAGGUAGGACUACCCGCUGAACUUAAGCAUAUCAAUAAGCGGAGGAAAAGAAACCAACAGGGAUUGCCUCAGUAACGGCGAGUGAAGCGGCAACAGCUCAAAUUUGAAAUCUGGCUCCUUCGGGGCCCGAGUUGUAAUUUGCAGAGGAUGCCUCGGGUGCGGGUUCCUUCCGAGUUCCCUGGAACGGGACGCCAUAGAGGGUGAGAGCCCCGUCAGGUCGGAACCCUAGCCCGUGUGAGGCUCCCUCGACGAGUCGAGUUGUUUGGGAAU
rnacentral:sRNA from 1 species